rnacentral:rRNA from 1 species
UACAGAGGUCUCAAGCGUUGUUCGGAUUCAUUGGGCGUAAAGGGUGCGUAGGUGGCGGGGUAAGUCAGGUGUGAAAUCUCGAGGCUCAACCUCGAAACUGCGUUUGAAACUGGGAGACUUGAGUGUGGCAGAGGGGGGUGGAAUUCCACGUGUAGCAGUGAAAUGCGUAGAUAUGUGGAGGAACACCGAUGGCGAAGGCAGCCCCCUGGGUUAACACUGACGCUCAUGCACGAAAGCGUGGGGAGCAAACAGG